UGUGGGAGGGGGCUUGCCCCCGAUAGCGGUGUGUCAGUUGCAAAUUUAUUGCUGAUACACCGCAAUCGGGGGCAAGCCCCCUCCCACA
rnacentral:misc_RNA from 1 species